AGAGUUUGAUCCUAGCUCAGGAUGAACGCUGGCGGCGUGGAUAAGGCAUGCAAGUCGAGUGGGUUUAGACCCACGGCAAACGAGUUAGUAACGCGUAGGAAUCUGCCCUGAAGUCCGGAAUAACUCGGAGAAAUCCGAGAUAAUACCGGAUGGUUCCCGACCUCGCGUCGGGAUAAAGGUUGUUUGCUUUUGCAGACAAUUGCUUCGGGAGGAGCCUGCGUCCUAUCAGCUUGUUGGCAGGGUAAUGGCCUACCAAGGCAAUGACGGGUAGGGGAAGUGAGAACUUGUUCCCCAACGAUGGGACUGAGACACGGUCCAUACACCUACGGGUGGCUGCAGUCGAGAAUCUUCCACAAUGGGCGAAAGCCUGAUGGAGCGACGCCGCGUGAGUGAAGAAACCCUUCGGGGCGUAAAACUCUUUUAUAGGAGAACAAUCCCGACUUUAGGUCGGGAUGAGCGUAUUCUAUGAAUAAGGGGCGACAAACUUCGUGCCAGAAGUCUCGGUAAUGCGAAGGCCCCAAGCGUUAUCCGGAAUUAUUGGGCGUAAAGCGUGUGUAGGCGGUUUUGAUAGUGGCUGGUCAAAUCCCGGGGCUUAACUCCGGAACUGCCAGUCAAACGUUAAGACUAGAGCAAGCGAGAGGUUGAUGGAACUUACCAAGUAGGGGUGAAAUCCGUUGAUAUGGUAGGGAACACCAAAGGCGAAGGCAAUCAACUGGCGCUUAGCUGACGCUGAGACACGAAAGCGUGGGUAGCGAACGAGAUUAGAUACCUCGGUAGUCCACGCCCUAAACGAUGCCGACUAGCCGUUCGGAGUAUCGACCCUCUGAGUGGCGAAGCUAACGCGUUAAGUCGGCCGCCUGGGGAGUACGGCCGCAAGGCUAAAACUCAAAGGAAUAGACGGGGACUCGCACAAGCGGUGGAUCAUGUGGUUUAAUUCGACGGUACACGAGGAACCUUACCAGGGCUAGACAUCCUGAUGAAAUCCCUCCGAAAGGCGGGACCUCUUUUAGACAUCAGGACAGGUGAUGCACGGUUGUCGUCAGUUCGUACCGUGAGGCGUUCCUUUAAGUAGGGCAACGGACGCAACCCCUGUUCUGUGUUAUACGUGUCACAGAAGACUGCCUCCG
rnacentral:rRNA from 1 species